GACGAACGCUGGCGGCGUGCUUAACACAUGCAAGUCGAACGGAAAGGCCCUGCUUUUGUGGGGUGCUCGAGUGGCGAACGGGUGAGUAACACGUGAGUAACCUGCCCUUGACUUUGGGAUAACUUCAGGAAACUGGGGCUAAUACCGGAUAGGAGCUCCUGCUGCAUGGUGGGGGUUGGAAAGUUUCGGCGGUUGGGGAUGGACUCGCGGCUUAUCAGCUUGUUGGUGGGGUAGUGGCUUACCAAGGCUUUGACGGGUAGCCGGCCUGAGAGGGUGACCGGCCACAUGGGGCAUGGAAUACGGCCCAGACUCCUACGGGGGGCAGGAGGGGGGAAUUUUGCACAAGGGGGGGAAGCCUGAUGCAGAAACGCCGGGUGGGGGAUGACGGCCUUGGGGUUGUAAACCGCUUUCGCCUGGGACGAAGCGUGGGUGACGGUAAUGGGUAAAGAAGCACCGGCUAACUACGU
rnacentral:rRNA from 1 species